UACGGGGGGGGCAAGCGUUGUUCGGAAUUACUGGGCGUAAAGGGCGCGUAGGCGGUACUUCAAGUCAGGCGUGAAAGCCCCGGGCUCAACCUGGGAACCGCGCUUGAGACUGGAGAACUAGAGUUCGGGAGAGGAUGGUGGAAUUCCCAGUGUAGAGGUGAAAUUCGUAGAUAUUGGGAAGAACACCGAUGGCGAAGGCAGCCAUCUGGACCGACACUGACGCUGAGGCGCGAAAGCGUGGGGAGCAAACAGG
rnacentral:rRNA from 1 species